UCUUGCCGAAUUGGAUUUUGAUAUUUUGUCAGGAUCCAUAAACAGAAUGUGUAUUUUAUUUUUGCUUUUGUCUCUUGGAAUAAGGUCUCCCCGAGCCUGUUGGUUCUUAUCAGACUUUCAUCUUUCCUCGAUGAGACUAUCUUCUGGGCUUCUAUGCCAGUUCCUAAUGGCUGUCUUCUUGCUGUUCACAUGUAAGGCAUCCAAGGUGUGCCUAAAAGCAUCAUUUUCACCAGGGACAAUUUGGAACUCCAGUGACCACUUGGGGGAACUUUGAUAAGAACAAGAAGGAAGAUGUUUAUCCUUUGAGGGUGAUGACCUCACCUUUCCUGAAGUGCCCACUUCUCAUUCUUGCUCCCCUCUUCUCUCAUCAUCCUCUUUUUGAAAGCUUUCAAAAUAAACUCAUGAAAAAAGUGUUCAAUUGUAUAAGAAUACUCUAGAGAAAUCUAGUCCAAUUAAAUAGUCAAAAAUGUCUAAAAGAAAUAAAACAUUAUUAAAAUG